UCCUUUUCUUGAUCGAGCUCCUUCUUCUCCUUCCUUUUCUUCCUUCUCUUUUCUUCUUCUUCUUCUUUUUCUUCUUCUCUUCUAGAGAGAGAGAGAGCAAGAGAGUGUGAGUGAGGCAUAGAGAGAAAUGAGAGAGUGAGAGGGAGAGAGGGGCCCUUAAGCCCUCUAUUGUAACAAUAUCUCAAUAAGUCCCUCAGCUUUUCACUCUGUGCACUGCCCCUCACUGGGCAUUCUGCGCCCAGAGGGACCGGUCUCCCCGACUUGGGACCGGUCCCCGAGAGCUUCAGCUCCGGUCAUGCGUUCGGGUACCGGUCUCUCCCAGAGAGACCGGUCCUCGGGAGACCGGUCCUUGCCUGAGAGACCGGUCCCCGAGAGCAAUAUUUUCAGAACUUAGCCAAAUUUCUGGCUUUCUCGCUGGGUUCACGUUCGGGGACCGGUCCCUCCCUACUAGGGACCGGUCGCCUCAAGCAACCCCGCAACACCAGCUGAUGGGAUCGGUCCCUCCCUGCCAGAGACCGGUCAUCGAGAGAAGCUUUGCUCCAGUGCAGGUUUCGCACUAUUUGCUCUCGCGGACUCGCUUCCAAUGCACCUUUGGUGAUUUUAACA
rnacentral:lncRNA from 1 species